UGGGGAAUAUUGCACAAUGGGCGCAAGCCUGAUGCAGCCAUGCCGCGUGUGUGAAGAAGGCCUUCGGGUUGUAAAGCACUUUCAGCGAGGAGGAAGGUGGUGAGCUUAAUACGCUCAUCAAUUGACGUUACUCGCAGAAGAAGCACCGGCUAACUCCGUGCCAGCAGCCGCGGUAAUACGGAGGGUGCAAGCGUUAAUCGGAAUUACUGGGCGUAAAGCGCACGCAGGCGGUUUGUUAAGUCAGAUGUGAAAUCCCCGGGCUCAACCUGGGAACUGCAUUUGAAACUGGCAAGCUAGAGUCUCGUAGAGGGGGGUAGAAUUCCAGGUGUAGCGGUGAAAUGCGUAGAGAUCUGGAGGAAUACCGGUGGCGAAGGCGGCCCCCUGGACGAAGACUGACGCUCAGGUGCGAAAGCGUGGGGCAGCAAACAGGAUUAGAUACCCUGGUAGUCCACGCUGUAAACGAUGUCGAUUUUGGAGGUUGUGCCCUUGAGGCGUGGCUUCCGGAGCUAACGCGUUAAAGUCGACCGCC
rnacentral:rRNA from 1 species